rnacentral:rRNA from 1 species
GACGAACGCUGGCGGCGUGCUUAACACAUGCAAGUCGAACGGUAAGGCCCUUCGGGGUACACGAGUGGCGAACGGGUGUGUAACACGUGGGUGAUCUGCCCUGCACUUCGGGAUAAGCCUGGGAAACUGGGUCUAAUACCGGAUAGGACCAUGGACUUCACGGUUUGUGGUGGAAAGCUUUUGCGGUGUGGGAUGGGCCCGCGGCCUAUCAGCUUGUUGGUGGGGUAAUGGCCUACCAAGGCGACGACGGGUAGCCGGCCUGAGAGGGUGUCCGGGCACACUGGGACUGAGAUACGGCCCAGACUCCGACGGGAGGCAGCAGUGGGGAAUAUUGCACAAGGGGCGCAAGCCUGAUGCAGCGACGCCGCGUGGGGGAUGACGGCCUUCGGGUUGUAAACCUCUUUCAGUAGGGACGAAGCGCAAGUGACGGUACCUACAGAAGAAGCACCGGCCAACUACGUGCCAGCCGCCGCAGUAA